CCCUUAGAUGUUCUGGGCUGCACGCGCGCUACACUGAUACUUUCAGCGAGUCCACCACCUUGCCUGGGAGGGUGGGGUAACCUCUGGAAAGUGCAUCGUGAUGGGGAUCGAUUAUUGUAAUUAUUAAUCUUCAGCGAGGAAUUCCUAGUAAGCAUGUGUCAUCAGCCCGUGCUGAUUACGUCCCUGCCCUUUGUACACACCGCCCGUCGCACCUACCGAUUGAAUGGUCCGGUGAAAUCUCGGGACGGCGGCUUGGUCGCUUGCGUCCGACUGCUGAAACUUGAUUAAACCAUAUCAUUUAGAGGAAGGUGAAGUCGUAACA
rnacentral:rRNA from 1 species